AAAGUACAGUUGGAUGUAACAACUAGAAAUGAGCAAUCACAACGCCAGCCCACUACUUCCAUUAUGCCUGCUCGUGAUGUUUCAAGUUGUAUUUCAGGAACUGUAGUUUAACACCUUUUCAACUUCUUCCUCUUCUUGAUACAUUCAUUAUCCCCACUACUUGUCAACCUAUAAUCUUGUAAAGGGUGAUACUUCAUCGAUGCUAACUCUUCCUUUGCAUUCUCAAGUCUUCGCUUCUCAUCUCUCUGACAUGAAAUUAUACAAGGCAUUACAAAUAUUGUCUACACGAGUAAUUUGUCAGACAUAAUGAGGUAUCAACACGUACAUAGGCCCUAUUGAACCCUGCUAUUUGUU
rnacentral:misc_RNA from 1 species